GGAAGUAAAGGUCGUAACAAGGUUUCCGUAGGUGAACCUGCGGAAGGAUCAUUAUUGGACUUUGAAACUUCAGGCUGCUGCUGGCUCUCCUCGGAGGGCAUGUGCACGCUUGUUGUCCAUUAUUUCUCCCACUGUGCACAAAUUGUAGACCUUUCAGUAGGCCUAUGUUGUUUUUCACAAUCUCUGAAUGUAAUAGAAUGGUUUUGAAUCUUGGGAAAUACAAUACAACUUUCAGCAACGGAUCUCUUGGCUCUC
rnacentral:misc_RNA from 1 species